rnacentral:rRNA from 1 species
CAGCAGUCGCCACGGUAAUACGGAGGGUGCAAGCGUUAAUCGGAAUUACUGGGCGUAAAGCGCACGCAGGCGGUUUGUUAAGUCAGAUGUGAAAUCCCCGAGCUUAACUUGGGAACUGCAUUUGAAACUGGCAAGCUAGAGUCUUGUAGAGGGGGGUAGAAUUCCAGGUGUAGCGGUGAAAUGCGUAGAGAUCUGGAGGAAUACCGGUGGCGAAGGCGGCCCCCUGGACAAAGACUGACGCUCAGGUGCGAAAGCGUGGGGAGCAAACAGGAUUAGAUACCCCAGUAGUCCCUGUCUCUUAUAC